rnacentral:rRNA from 1 species
GACGAACGCUGGCGGCGUGCUUAACACAUGCAAGUCGAACGGAAAGGCCCUGCUUUUGUGGGGUGCUCGAGUGGCGAACGGGUGAGUAACACGUGAGUAAUCUGCCCUUGACUUUGGGAUAACUUAAGGAAAGUGGGGAUAAUACCGGAUAGGAGCUCCUGCUGCAUGGUGGGGGGUGGAAAGUUUCGGCGGUUGGGGAUGGACUCGCGGCUUAUCAGCUUGUUGGUGGGGUAGUGGCUUACCAAGGCUUUGACGGGUAGCCGGCCUGAGAGGGUGACCGGCCACAUUGGGACUGAGAUACGGCCCAGCCUCCUACGGGAGGCAGCAGUGGGGAAUAUUGCACAAUGGGCGGAAGCCUGAUGCAGCAACGCCGCGUGCGGGAUGACGGCCUUCGGGUUGUAAACCGCUUUCGCCUGUGACGAAGCGUGAGUGACGGUAAUGGGUAAAGAAGCACCGGCUAACUACGUG